AGAGUUUGAUUCUGGCUCAGAUUGAACGCUGGCGGCAGGCCUAACACAUGCAAGUCGAGCGGUAGAGAGAAGCUUGCUUCUCUUGAGAGCGGCGGACGGGUGAGUAAUGCCUAGGAAUCUGCCUGGUAGUGGGGGAUAACGUUCGGAAACGGACGCUAAUACCGCAUACGUCCUACGGGAGAAAGCAGGGGACCUUCGGGCCUUGCGCUAUCAGAUGAGCCUAGGUCGGAUUAGCUAGUUGGUGAGGUAAUGCCUCACCAAGGCGACGAUCCGUAACUGGUCUGAGAGGAUGAUCAGUCACACUGGAACUGAGACACGGUCCGGACACCUACGGGUGGCUGCAGCAACGAAUAUUCCGCAAUGGGCGAAAGCCUGACGGAGCGACGCCGCGUGCAGGAUGAAGUCUUUCGGGAUGUAAACUGCUGUCGGGGGUCAGAAAUCACUGAUCAACCCCACAGGAAGCCAUGGCUAACUCUGUGCCAGCAGCCGCGGUAAU
rnacentral:rRNA from 1 species